rnacentral:lncRNA from 13 species
GUCAGGGAUCUGGGUGUGGCUCAGCUGGGGGCUUCCGACUCAGGGUCACAAUGCUACCAAGUGUGAGCUGGAGCUAUGGUCAUCUCUAAGCCAGCUGGGAGGGGACCUUUUUCCAAAGUCACUCACACAGUCUUAGGUGUUUACAGGCCUCCGGUCCUUGCUGGCUGUUGGCCAGAGACCUCAGUUCCUUGCCACAAGAGCCUUUCCAUAGGUUACUUACAACAAAACAGUUUGCAGCCCCCAGAGACAGAGAGAGGGCAAGAGAAGGCAAGAUCUCACCUCAGUUGCUGUUGUAGAGAAAGGACGGUAGCAGGACAAGAGAGGGGACAGCAAGACCAGGUGAGAGAUGACCACAGAGGCCCAUGUGAGAUGGGAGCUGACUCACACAAGAGUAGAGGCGUCCCAGAGGCUCAAUUGUCUCUAAUGCCCUUCUACUAGGAUAAUCUUCCCUCUACCCAGUGUCUCAUCUCCUGUGACCAUCUCACCAUGUAGGAUGACCCUAGUGUGGGCUGCCACCUCGUCUCCUUUUAAUUCCUCUGCCAAACGAUCACCAACACAAGGAAUUGUAUGUAAUGGACUCUACUCAAGUUCAUGGUACCCCAAGGGGCUUCUGUUCUAGCCCAGAGCAGUGCAGCAAACAGUUUAGAAUGUAAUACCAAACAUUGCCAUUAUUAAGCCACUUGGCCCACUAUCCCUGAUGCUCAUCAUGUUGCUAAGCCACCCUCUCUCCUUUGAUCUUGUAGCUCCAUGCUUCCAACUUUUCGGGGUCCCUUAUCCCCUCUAGCUGUCAGACUGCUCACACACACACACAGUAUCACAUCUUUUCAUGUAAGAAAAGUCGGUGUCCCCUUUAUUUUGCCUCCUGCCUCUAAAUCUUGACUUGCGGCUUCACUUUUCACAACCAAAAUACCCUAUUGUUUGAUAUUGUUUUGCCAAACAAUAUCAAUAGCAAAUACAUUUUCCUAAGCAGGAUGCUUGGAUUUUUCACACCACUCUGAUAUCUGGAUGGAAGGUUAGAAGGCAACAAAGGGAUGGGCUGGAAAGGACUCCAAAAGCAGAAUCAGAGAUUAUAUCAUUCCUCGGAACUGGAGAAAAUGAUCAAAAAAGCUGAAUAAAAGGUAGUCCCAGCAACA